rnacentral:antisense_RNA from 1 species
CUCCAUGGCGGGCCGGGUGGGGAGACCUCCGGGUCUGCCGGGGCCAUGUAGCCGGUUCGCCAACCCCGCCUUGGCCUGCCACCCGC